ensembl:misc_RNA Metazoa_SRP Metazoan signal recognition particle RNA
GCCGGGUGUGGUGGCCCGGGCCUAUAGUCCCAGCUACUCAGGAGGCUGAGGUGGGAGGAUCGAUUGAGUCCAGGAGUUCUGGGCUGUAGUUUACUAUGCUGAUUGGGUGUCCGCUCUAAGUUUAACAUCAAUAUGGUGACCUCCCAGGAGCGGGGGACCACCAGGGUGCCUAAGGAGGGGUAAUCUGACCCAGGUCAGAAACGGAGCAGGUCAAAGCUCCCAUGCUGAUCAAUAUCCUAAUUUUUGCAAGCUAAAAUGUAUCUCCUCAAAUUUAUAUGUUGAAGUCCCAACUUCC